rnacentral:rRNA from 1 species
GAUGAACGCUGGCGGCGUGCCUAAUACAUGCAAGUCGAGCGAACGGACGAGAAGCUUGCUUUUCUGAUGUUAGCGGCGGACGGGGGAGUAACACGUGGAUAACCUACCUAUAAGACUGGGAUAACUUCGGGAAACCGGAGCUAAUACCGGAUAAUAUUUUGAACCGCAUGGUUCAAAAGUGAAAGACGGUCUUGCUGUCACUUAUAGAUGGAUCCGCGCUGCAUUAGCUAGUUGGUAAGGUAACGGCUUACCAAGGCAACGAUGCAUAGCCGACCUGAGAGGGUGAUCGGCCACACUGGAACUGAGACACGGUCCAGACUCCUACGGGAGGCAGCAGUAGGGAAUCUUCCGCAAUGGGCGAAAGCCUGACGGAGCAACGCCGCGUGAGUGAUGAAGGUCUUCGGAUCGUAAAACUCUGUUAUUAGGGAAGAACAUAUGUGUAAGUAACUGUGCACAUCUUGACGGUACCUAAUCAGAAAGCCACGGCUAACUACGUG